rnacentral:rRNA from 1 species
GACGAACGCUGGCGGCGUGCUUAACACAUGCAAGUCGAACGGAAAGGCCCUGCUUUUGUGGGGUGCUCGAGUGGCGAACGGGUGAGUAACACGUGAGUAACCUGCCCUUGACUUUGGGAUCACUUCAGGAAACUGGGGCUAAUACCGGAUAGGAGCUCCUGCUGCAUGGUGGGGGUUGGAAAGUUUCGGCGGUUGGGGAUGGACUCGCGGCUUAUCAGCUUGUUGGUGGGGUAGUGGCUUACCAAGGCUUUGACGGGUAGCCGGCCUGAGAGGGUGACCGGCCACAUGGGGACUGAGAUACGGCCCAGACUCCUACGGGAGGCAGCAGUGGGGAAUAUUGCACAAUGGGCGGAAGCCUGAUGCAGCAACGCCGCGUGCGGGAUGACGGCCUUCGGGUUGUAAACCGCUUUCGCCUGUGACGAAGCGUGAGUGACGGUAAUGGGUAAAGAAGCACCGGCUAACUACGUG